UACGUAGGGCGCAAGCGUUGUCCGGAAUUAUUGGGCGUAAAGAGCUCGUAGGCGGUCUGUUACGUCCGCUGUGAAAACCCAGGGCUUAACCCUGGGCUUGCAGUGGAUACGGGCAGACUAGAGGCAGGUAGGGGAGAAUGGAAUUCCCGGUGUAGCGGUGAAAUGCGCAGAUAUCAGGAGGAACACCGGUGGCGAAGGCGGGUCUCUGGGCCGAUACUGACGCUGAGGCACGAAGGCCAGGGGAGCAAACGGG
rnacentral:rRNA from 1 species